CAGGUUUGACAUGCUGGUGGUAAGAACCGGAAACGGGGAUGACCUCGCAAGGGGAGCCAGCACAGGUGCUGCAUGGCUGUCGUCAGCUCGUGCCGUGAGGUGUUGGGUUAAGUCCCGCAACGAGCGCAACCCUUGCCUCCAGUUGCCAACGGGUCAUGCCGGGAACUCUGGAGGGACUGCCCAGGAUAACGGGGAGGAAGGUGGGGAUGACGUAUGGAAUGUCGAUA
rnacentral:misc_RNA from 1 species